AUAAUGACGAUAAUCGUGAUAUUUAAUAUUGCGUGAAAACGUACCUUAAGACAAGUGUCUUAAUAGGCGGCGUGGUAGUCGUGUCGUGUUAGUUUUUCCGCAGUUGGUUUUUUAUCUCUUUUACUACUUUCAAAUAGUGUGAUGUCACGUAUUGAAAAUCGAGAAUUUCGUCCGGCAAACUUGUUUAUGGUUAAAGAUUUCCAUUUUCACACGGAUUCCAAGCCACGUUCACAUUUUUCCACCUUCCGAAUUAAAUAUGCGCAUAAUUACGUCUCGAAGGAAGUUAAGGCCACGAAGUGCGAGUGUCUCGCGACUUGAAUGUGAUAAAGUUGCCGAUUGAAUAUGAAUACGCGAACAUAAACAGAAAGCAGAGAUUCUUGAACUUUGGCUGCAUUUGCAAGUGAAAGGAUGAGGCCACUGAUCCUGGGAAUAAUAAUUUUCGUCUUUUCUAACCGGUAAAGACACGGAGAGGAAAUAUAUUGCAUCUUUUCGAACGCUCUUCGCGACAAAGAGACAAAAAUGUUACUAGAACGUCAACUCGUCUUUUAUAUCGAGAAUAUUUUCGUCGUCCAUUUUCGGAUCUCUUGAUCCGUUUAAUCAUCGACUAAGGAUUCGAGCCAGUUGGUUUACACGAAGCCAUUAAUAAUUAUGUAUAAUAUAUUAUUCUAAUAGAGACAAGUUAUUAAGAAAAAUAUUUCUUCGGAAACAAUUUAGGUUAGGUAAAGACACGGAGAGGAAAUAUAUUGCAUCUUUUCGAACGCUCUUCGCGACAAAGGGACAAAAAUAUUACCAGAACGUCAACUCGUCUUUUGUAUCGAGAAUAUUUUCGUCUUACGUCCAUUUUCGGAUCCCUUGAUCCGUUUAAUCACCGGCUAACGAUUCGAGCCAGUUGGUUUACACGAAGCCAUUAAUAAUUUAUGAAUUGGACGGAUAUCAUGGACGCGCUGUUAACACCACGCUCGUGUUUAACAUGUCGUAACGUAUGGUUCACUGAUGUAAACGAGUUGAAACGUGCUACGCAUUAAUCUUUCCCGAGUUUAUGCACGUAACGACCAACUUACGUAUCGUGGAGAGAUGCGAAAAUUGAAACAUUUGGGAUGGCACAAUGUCAACGAUCCGGAAACAAAUAAUUGAAUUCCCUUUUAUUACACGUUUGUCAACCAAUUUGAUUAAAGCAAUUAAUUCGACGUGUGAUCGGAAAAUACUUUUAUUUUUCAUGUUAAAUUAUCAUGGAGAUAAUUUUCUUGGCAAAAUUAAAACGAAAUUUUUAUUCUUUCA